UAGCGAGUAUGUUUGUAUUCGAAUGCGGAUUUAUAUAUGAAAAUAAAUAGAUUGUAUCGCCUUCCAGGAGGUCACGCUUUUCUGAUUUCUAAUUAUAAUCGUGUUUCUGUAAAGGAUAAAAUUCAACUUCCAAGAAAAUUUCGAGAUCGUGCACUUUAUGACGUGCAUGACUCUAUCGAAACAGUCACGGCAUCAAUCCUAUAUCCUGACUGCACCUGCAUCUUUCAUGACUUAUAUACGGAUAUAUGUUAAUAAACAUGUGUAAAUAACCCCAUUGCUAUUUUUUUUAAACAAAAAAGCCUUCAUCGUGUAUAUUUUUUCAAUUAAUUUGCC
rnacentral:lncRNA from 1 species